AAUAGGCUAAUUAAGAGCGUAAGGGGAAUGCCUUGGCUCUCAGAGGCGAUGAAGGACGUGAUAAGCUGCGAUAAGCUGUGGGGAGUGGCACAAACACUUUGAUCCGCAGAUUUCCGAAUGGGGUAACCCGGCAUAUUGAAGAUAUGUCACACUGUAAAGUGAGCGAACCUGGUGAACUGAAACAUCUAAGUAACCAGAGGAAUAGAAAACAAAAGUGAUUCCGCUAGUAGUGGCGAGCGAACGUGGAACAGCCUAAACCUAUGUUGUUACGGCAAUAUAGGGGUUGUAGGACCUCAACAUUUAAUGCUAAUAGAACUAGAAUUUACUGGAAAGUAAAACC
rnacentral:rRNA from 1 species